UACGAAGGGGGCUAGCGUUGCUCGGAAUUACUGGGCGUAAAGGGCGCGUAGGCGGCACUGUUAGUCAGGCGUGAAAGUCCUGGGCUCAACCUGGGAACUGCGCUUGAUACGGCAGAGCUAGAGGAUGGAAGAGGCUCGCGGAAUUCCCAGUGUAGAGGUGAAAUUCGUAGAUAUUGGGGAAGAACACCGGUGGCGAAGGCGGCGAGCUGGUCCAUUACUGACGCUGAGGCGCGACAGCGUGGGGGAGCAAACAGG
rnacentral:rRNA from 1 species